CGUUCGGGCGACCAAUUGGAUUGCGCACGCGCACGUCGUGCCCGCACGACGUGCCUGGUUGCCUGGUUACCGCGUGCGGCGAUGGCAGCUAGAGCCUGGAAUCUGGCCGCGCCCAGCCUAGCCCCCAGCAUCGGGUCCUCACAGCUGGCCCAGGCUGCAGCCGGUAGCCACAUACCGCAGUUCCCUGCAGUCGGGCGUUCAAGCGUGCCCUACUGGACAGCGGUGAUACCACGAGGUCACCGCCGCCGCCCCUCCCUCACAUCGCCACCCUUGCAUCCAACUCUGGCCUCGUGACCCUCAGAAGAGCCCUGCAGUGGCACCCACACCUGGGCCUUGGGUCCCAACAAGACUGGGGCCCUGCCCUGCCUGGUGCACGUAUGCUGGAGAGGGAGUCUGGCCUGCUCUGGGGUGAAUGUCAGGUUUCAGCCCCUGCCCCGGACCUUCAGGGAAGACAUAUUAGAAAGAGGCUGGUGGUGCCAGGGAUGGAACCCUGGGCUUCACAGAAGCCAAGCAAAGGCUGACCACUGAGAGAGCCCCCUUCUUUUCUUCUGAAUGUGGCUACGGUAAUUUUUUUUUUUUUCUUUUUCCUUUUUAUCGGUACCAGGGAUCGAACUCACGACUGCCUGCUUGCAAGGCAGGUCCUUAUGCCGCUGAGCUAAAUCCCCAGCCCGCUACCGUAAUAUUAAACUAUAAACUAUUAAAUGCUUCGGUUGUGUUUCCA